GACGAACGCUGGCGGCGUGCUUAACACAUGCAAGUCGAACGGAAAGGCCCUGCUUUUGUGGGGUGCUCGAGUGGCGAACGGGUGAGUAACACGUGAGUAACCUGCCCUUGACUUUGGGAUAACUUCAGGAAACUGGGGCUAAUACCGGAUAGGAGCUCCUGCUGCAUGGUGGGGGUUGGAAAGUUUCGGCGGUUGGGGAUGGACUCGCGGCUUAUCAGCUUGUUGGUGGGGUAGUGGCUUACCAAGGCUUUGACGGGUAGCCGGCCUGAGAGGGUGACCGGCCACAUUGGGACUGAGAUACGGCCCAGACUCCUACGGGAGGCAGCAGUGGGGAAGAUUGCACAAUGGGCGGAAGCCUGAUGCAGCAACGCCGCGUGCGGGAUGACGGCCUUCGGGUUGUAAACCGCUUUCGCCUGUGACGAAGCGUGAGUGACGGUAAUGGGGAAAGAAGCACCGGCUAACUACGU
rnacentral:rRNA from 1 species